rnacentral:rRNA from 1 species
ACUCCUACGGAGGCAGCAGUGGGGAAUAUUGCACAAUGGGCGCAAGCCUGAUGCAGCAACGCCGUGUGAGUGAAGAAGGUUUUCGGAUCGUAAAACUCUGUCCUAAGGGAAGAAACAAAUGACGGUACCUUAGGAGGAAGCCCCGGCUAACUACGUGCCAGCAGCCGCGGUAAUACGUAGGGGGCAAGCGUUAUCCGGAAUCACUGGGCGUAAAGGGUGCGUAGGCGGCUUAGCAAGCCAGGGGUGAAAGGCAUUGGCUCAACCAAUGUAAGCCUUUGGAACUGUUAAGCUUGAGUGCAGGAGAGGUAAGUGGAAUUCCUAGUGUAGAGGUGAAAUUCGUAGAUAUUAGGAGGAACACCAGUGGCGAAGGCGACUUACUGGACUGUAACUGACGCUGAUGCACGAAAGCGUGGGUAGCGAACAGGAUUAGAUACCCUGGUAGCACAGAG